CCUGCCCCUAGAGGCAUUGCAGCUACGACUGCUGUGUCAUAUGUGUGUCAGUAGGUGGCAGAGAUGAGACAGGCUAUGUCUAUGCUCAGUGUUCGGACCUGGGAAACCCGGGGGUGCAGGUGGCAGGGAGUGAGCCUAAGACA
ensembl:snoRNA LOC120093990 small nucleolar RNA SNORA17